UCCCUGGUGGCUCAGACGGUAAAGCAUCUGCCUGCAAUGCAGGAGACCUAGGUUCGAUUCCUGGGUCGGGAA
rnacentral:tRNA from 1 species